rnacentral:lncRNA from 1 species
AAAAUAGCAUUUAAUGUUUUAUCAAAAGAGAUAAAUAUACACUUAUACCUCAAUGGUAAAUUAAUUUAGACAUUAGGUUUUAGAGUUAAGGGAUGGAGUUUAGGGUUUAGGGUUUAGAUUUUAGGGUUUAGGGUUUAGAAUUUAGGGGUGGAGUUUAGGGUUUAGGGUUUAUAGUUAAGGGGUGGGGUUUAGGAUUUAGGGUUUAGGAUUUAGGGUUUAGGGUUUAGAGUUUAGGGUUUAGAGUUUAGGGUUUAGUGUUUAGGGUUUAGAGUUUAGGUUUUAGGGUUUAGGGUUUAGAUUUUAGGGUUUAGGGUUUAGAGUUCAGGGGUGGGGUUUAGGGUUUAGGGUUUAUAGUUAAGGGGUGGGGUUUAGGAUUUAGGGUUUAGGAUUUAGGGUUUAGGGUUUAGAGUUUAGGGUUUAGUGUUUAGGGUUUAGAGUUUAGGUUUUAGGGGAAGUGGGGUUUUGGGAUAAGAUUUCAAAUUUUGAAAAUAAAAAAAAUUUAAAUUUUUCAAAAGAUAAAAUGCUAUUUUGGUCGUUUUAGUUUUUGAGAGCUAUUUUUGUGACAUAAUUUAGAAAUGUGCUAUUCUGGAAAUUUGUCCUUUUUAUUUUGUUUUAGUAGUACUUUAUUUCUUACUUUAAAAUGAAGUACUAAAUAGUAUUGCUUGAAAUUUAAAAGUAUUAUUCAUAUUUUCUAAGAUGAAUUUUUAAUUAUAAAUCUUAAUCAGUUAAGAUUAAUUAAUUUUAGGGAUAUAAAUGUUUUUUCUUCUUUAAAUUUUUUUUUGGUCUAUCCUAUGGAAUUUGCUAAUCGAUUAUUGGUAAUGAUGUAGAGAAUCGCUUUUAUACUACCCAUAGGUUGUUUGGAUACAAUUGAGAGCCUUUGCAGUGCUUUCCUCUGGUCAGG